UGUGAAAGUUGUAAUUUUGUAUUUGCUAGUUAAAGUCAUUUUAUAUAGUAUUUAUUGAUUUAGCUUGACAUUGCAAUAAUAGAACUACAGAGGGCGUUUGGUCAAAGAUUACUUUGACAGUUCUUAAGUUUUUCUAGUUUGAAGGUCAGAAACUUAUUUGGCGCCACCUGUUGUUGGCUGAUUUGGAAUGAUCAUGUUUGCAACAUGAUUUCUGUUUUGUGAGGAAAAUCUGUGGUUUUCUGGAGCAUCCUUUGUUCCUGAGAGCUGUUUCCUACAGUAUUAUGGAGGCACAGAGUUUUCACGGAAUGAAGGGAAGAAGAACGGAAUAAAGCAGUGAAAGGAGUAAAGAUAAAGAUUCGUUCGUCAAAGACAGAGUUGCAUUUCCCUUGAUGGUUAUGACUCUAAAAUAAACUGACAUUCCCGUAAAAACCUGAGUCGUUGUAAUUAUUCAGCGUUUCGCCUCACAGACAGUCACAGUGAAAACUCUUUCUCAGAAGAGUGAAAAGAACUCAGGGAAAUAGCCAACCUUUUCCUGAGUUAAACCGCCUCUCGGCUCUUCAAGUAAGCUCUCUCCAACGAUCAGACAAGAUGAUAGAAGGAGAAGGAAAAGCUGAGGGACAAACAGCAGUUGCAACCGACAAGGUGUUGCAACCAGAAGCUGAGGGACAAACAGCAGUUGCAACCGACAAGGUGUUGCAACCAUCAGCUGAGGGUCAAACAAGACCAUCAAGAGAAGCAGUUGCAACCGACAAGGUGUUGCAACAAUCAGCUGAGGGUCAAACAAGAUCAUCAGGAGAAGCAGUUGCAACCGACAAGGUGUUGCAAUACCAGCUUGGCGUUGCAACCAAGAACUGGAAGGAUGCAAUAAUAACGUGGCAGAAAACAGCCAACAAUUUGAUGAAA